rnacentral:misc_RNA from 1 species
GAUGAAGAACGUAGCGAAAUGCGAUACGUAAUGUGAAUCGCAAAUUCAGUGAAUCAUCGAGUCUUUGAACGCACAUUGCGCCCCCUGGUAUUCCGGGGGGCAUGCCUGUCCGAGCGUCAUUUCUGCCCUCAAGCACGGCUUGUGUGUUGGGCCCCGUCCUCCGAUUCCGGGGGACGGGCCCGAAAGGCAGCGGCGGCACCGAGUCCGGUCCUCGAGCGUAUGGGGCUUUGUCACCCGCUCUGUAGGCCCGGCCGGCGCUUGCCGAUCAACCCAAAUUUUUAUCCAGGUUGACCUCGGAUCAGGUAGGGAUACCCGCUGAACUUAAGCAUAUCAAUAAGCGGAGGA